rnacentral:rRNA from 1 species
GAUGAACGCUGACAGAAUGCUUAACACAUGCAAGUCGAUGGGGAAGUGGUGCUUGCACCAUGGCAACCAUGGCGGACGGGUGAGUAACGCGUAAGGGACUUACCUGCAGGACUGGGAUAACAGGGGGAAACUCCUGACAAGACCGGAUAAUGUCAUGGAGCUGCAUGGCUUUAUGAUGAAAGGAGACGCCUGCGGAGAGCCUUGCGUCCUAUUAGCUAGUUGGUGAGGUAAUGGCUCACCAAGGCGAAGAUAGGUAGCCGGCCUGAGAGAGUGGACGGCCACAAGGGGACUGAGAUACGGCCCUUACUCCUACGGGAGGCAGCAGUGGGGAAUAUUGGACAAUGGGGGCAACCCUGAUCCAGCAAUUCUGUGUGCACGAAGAAGGUUUUCGGAGUGUAAAGUGCUUUCAGCAGGGAAGAAGUAAGUGACGGUACCUGCAGAAGAAGCGACGGCUAAAUACGUG